AUUGACCGCUGGCGGCAGUCCUAACCCCUGCAAGUCGAACGAGUGGCGGACGGGUGAGUACUGUCUGGGAAACUGCCCGAUGGAGGGGGAUAACUACUGGAAACGGUAGCUAAUACCGCAUACCAUCGGAUGAGCCCAGAUGGGAUUAGCUUGUAGGUGAGGUAACGUCGCACCUAGGCGACGAUCCCUAGCUGGUAUGAGAGGAUGCUAAGCCAAACUGGGACUGAGACACGGUCCAGACUCCUACGGGAGGCAGCAGUGGGGAAUAUUGCACAAUGGGCGAAAGCCUGAUACAGCCAUGCCGCGUGUAUGAAGAAGGCCUUCGGGUUGUAAAGUACUUUCAGCUGGGAGGCGUUACCCGCAGAAGAAGCACCGGCUAACUCCGUGCAAGCAGCCGCGGUAAUAC
rnacentral:rRNA from 1 species